rnacentral:rRNA from 1 species
UCCUUAGAUGUUCUGGGCUGCACGCGCGCUACACUGUCGGAUUCAGCGAGUCAUAUCCUUAACCGAAAGGUUUGGGUAAUCUUUUGAAAGUCCGACGUGAUGGGGAUUGAUCAUUGCAAUUAUUGAUCAUGAACGAGGAAUUCCUAGUAAGCGCGAGUCAUCAGCUCGCGUUGAUUACGUCCCUGCCCUUUGUACACACCGCCCGUCGCUACUACCGAUUGAAUGGUUUAGUGAGAUCUUCGGAUUGGCGCCUACGCGGCUUCUCUGAGGCCACGCUGGAUGCCGAAAAGUUGCUCAAACUGUAUCAUUUAGAGGAAGUAAAAGUCGUAACA